rnacentral:rRNA from 1 species
UGCGAGCGUUAUCCGGAAUUAUUGGGCAUAAAGGGAGCGCAGAGGGGCAUGUAAGUCUUUCUUAAAGUUCGGGGGUCAACCCGUGAUGGGAAGAGAACUAUGGUCUGUGAGUACAGGAGAGGAAAGCGGAAUUCCCAGUGUAGCGGUGAAAUGCGUAGAUUAUUGGGAGGAUCACCAGUGGCGAAGGCGGCUUUCUGGACUGCAACUGACGCUGAGAGCUCGAAGACAGGGGAGCGAACGGGAUUAGAUACCCCGGUAGCCCUGGCCGUAAACGAUGGAUACUAGGGUGUGGGAGGUAUCGACCCCUACCGUGCCGGAGUUAACGCAAUAAGUAUCCCGCCUGGGGAGUACGGCCGCAAGGCUGAAACUCAAAGGAAUUGACGGGGACCCGCACAAGCGGUGGAGUAUGUGGUUUAAUUCGAAGCAACGCGAAGAACCUUACCAGGCCUUGACAUUGACUGAAAGAGCUAGAGAUAGCUCCCUCUCUUCGGAGACAGGAAAACAGGUGGUGCAUGGCUGUCGUCAGCUCGUGUCGUGAGAUGUUGGGUUAAGUCCCGCAACGAGCGCAGCCCCUGUUCUUUGUUGCCAUCAGGUAAAGCUGGGCACUCAAAGGAGACUGCCGCGGAGAACGCGGAGGAAGGCGGGGAUGACGUCAAGUCAUCAUGCCCCUUAUGGUCUGGGCUACACACGUACUACAAUGGAGUGGACAGAGAGCAGCAAGAGAGCGAUCUGGAGCGAACCUCAAAAACCACUUCCCAGUUCGGAUUGCAGGCUGCAACUCGCCUGCAUGAAGUCGGAAUCGAUAGUAAUCGCAGGUCAGCAUACUGCGGUGAAUACGUUCCCGGGUCUUGUACACACCGCCCGUCACACCACGGAUGUAAUUCCACCCGAAGCCGGCGCAGCCGUAUAAGGUGGGGAAGCGUUUUUUAAAGUCAAACAAGGUAAAAUGUAAUAAUGGGGAAGAUCCGCGGAAUACCGAGUUAUAAUUCUACUGGUAGUGUGAAGAGGCCCA